rnacentral:rRNA from 1 species
AAGGGGGCUAGCGUUGUUCGGAAUCACUGGGCGUAAAGCGCACUGUAGGCGGNUGUGCCAGUCAGGNGUGAAAUCCCGGAGCUCAACUCCGGAACUGCCUNUGAUACUGCACGUCUUGAGUUCGAGAGAGGUGGGUGGAAUUCCNAGUGUAGAGGUGAAAUUCGUAGAUAUUAGGAAGAACACCGGUGGCGAAGGCGGCCCACUGGCUCGAUACUGACGCUGAGGNGCGAAAGCGUGGGGAGCAAACAGGAUUAGAUACCCUGGUAGUCCACGCCUUAAACGAUGGAUGCUAGCCGUCNGCAAGCAUGCUUGUCGGUGGCGCAGCUAACGCAUUAAGCAUCCCGCCUGGGGAGUACGGCCGCAAGGUUA